rnacentral:lncRNA from 1 species
GAGGCCAUAAACCGCAGACUUGCCCAUAAGACAAAACGUAAUUAAUCAAAUUCAACAGAUGUCCUAAUUACAUGACAAAAAUGCACUUCUCAUUAUAGAGAAUGAUUUUUUUGUAAACAAUAAUGAAGAUUUACAAAAGAAAUACUACAUAUUAAUGCUGUUAGAAACCAAUGUCUCUGUAUGUGUGCAAAAAGAUUGAAGACUGAAGCGUGGAAAAAAAUCAUAUAUUAAUC